rnacentral:rRNA from 1 species
UACAGAGGGGGCAAGCGUUGUUCGGAAUUACUGGGCGUAAAGGGCGCGUAGGCGGCCUGUUAAGUCGAACGUGAAAUCCCCAGGCUCAACCUGGGAACUGCGUCUGAUACUGGAUGGCUUGAAUCCGGGAGAGGGAUGCAGAAUUCCAGGUGUAGCGGUGAAAUGCGUAGAUAUCUGGAGGAAUACCGGUGGCGAAGGCGGCAUCCUGGACCGGCAUUGACGCUGAGGAGCGAAAGCCAGGGGAGCAAACGGG